GACGAACGCUGGCGGCGUGCUUAACACAUGCAAGUCGAACGGAAAGGCCCCUUUGGGGGUACUCGAGUGGCGAACGGGUGAGUAACACGUGAGUAACCUGCCCUUGACUUCGGGAUAACUUCAGGAAACUGGGGCUAAUACCGGAUAGGAAUCCUUGCUGCAUGGUGGGGGUUGGAAAGCUUCGGCGGUUUUGGAUGGACUCGCGGCUUAUCAGCUUGUUGGUGGGGUAGUGGCUUACCUAGGCUUUGACGGGUAGCCGGCCUGAGAGGGCGACCGGCCACAGUGGGACUGGGAUUCGGCCCAGACUCCGACGGGAGGCAGCAGGGGGGAAUAUUGCACAAUGGGCGGGAGCCUGAUGCAGCAACGCCGCGGGCGGGAUGACGGCCUUCGGGUUGUAAACCGCUUUCAGCAGGGGCGAAGCUGGUAGUGACGGUACCUGCAGAAGAAGCACCGGCUAACUACGUG
rnacentral:rRNA from 1 species